rnacentral:lncRNA from 1 species
UUAGUUAAAUGAAAACCUCUACAAAGUGAUUAUGAAGUUCUAGGGAUUCUUUAUUACCUUAUUAGACAUAACAUUAAUUAAUUAAUUUUUUCUACUUGCUUUUAAGAUAAAAUUUGAAUAAGUUAUCAAAAUUAGUUAGAGAAGAUCAUGUACACAAAUUAGAAGUUAAUUUUGAAUGUAUUAUGAGGUAGAUAUACGUAGAAACUUACUCAAUGAAAGUAAAUAAUAAACCUCCCAUAUAUUGAUUUUAAUAGUUAUAAGAGUCAAAUUGUUUAUGGUUUUUGUAUUUAAGAAUUAAAUUUCUUUAAGCAUGCUAAAACAUGUUUAAACAUGCAUACUUAUUGUCUAUUUCCUGAGAUGGAAGUUUUGGAUUAAUCUUAUAUUUACUUAUGAUUCUGAUAUGCUCAUGAAGUUUACCUAACAAUUGAUCAUACUAAUUUUAAGUGAAAUUUGUGAUAGUACCAAUCAUAACGAAAUCACAUGUGGUAGCUGCAGGUGGAGUUUAUGUUUUUUCCUAUCAACUUAUUGGUAAGUCAUUUUGUUCAUUUAUCCUUUUAGUAUGUGUAGAAAAUUGAUUAUAGUUCUUCAACUUCUUUACUAUUUUCUCUUUCCCUUGAUCUUUUUUUGUUCUAUUAUGUUUGGUUUUUGAAAAACUUGAGGGUAAAUAUAAAGGAAAGAAAAUAGAGAAAAAAAAAUUAAAAGGAAAUACAAAGUGAAAAAGAAUAAAAACUAGAUUUAAAGUUAAUCAAUUAUUUUCAUAUGUUUCUUCAAUCUUAUUUCAAUUAUUAUGCUUCAUUAUAUAAAAAUUAAAUAAUUUUAAAAUGUAUAUAGUUCUAACAAAUUUUAAUUAUAUUUAAUUUUUUUUUCCAUAUUUUUCACAAUGAAACCAAACAUUUAUUUUUUUUCCUUGACAUUUUUUUAUUGUUUCCUUGGUACUCGAUGAGAACCAAACAUAAGUUGAAAACCACUAGGGUAGCUUAGUUGGUCAAGGCGAACAUUGAGAAGUGUGGUCCCAGUAAGUGGUACAUGGUUUUGGGUUCGAAUUCUGCCACCAAUGAUACCUUGAAUUUACCUAGUGCUAGUUGUUGAGGGUGAUUAACACUUUGAGGUUUGGGUCCGCAUAGAGAGUUCUAAGGGCUUGGUCAUGGAAGGUUCCUCGAUUAUUAAAAAAAAAAAAAACAUAAGUUUUAUGUUUUAAGAAGUUAAAAAAAAAAAAAAAGUCAUAGCACAAUCCACAAUUAACUAGGAUGUAUAUUUGUUCUUAUGUGCUUGGCACAAGGCACUAAGUAUCAUAAUAUUAAAUUAAAUCCUCCAUCUACUCCAUAAGAAUUAGUUAUAAAUUCCUUGCUAUUGAUAUAGGUAAACAACAAUUUAUAUGUGUUUGAAUUAAUUCUUAAGUUAAUGGUUAACACCAUUAAAUAUGUUUUUAGUUCCUUUGAUGUAUAAUUUGAACAUUUUAGGGGUAUGAUUCUAGCUUCAUUAGCAUGAAGUGUAUCCAAUGAUAUGUGAUUCUCUAUCACUAUGUUUGGUUCCAAGAAACUAUAAGGGAAGAAAAAUCCUCAUGAAAAUGAUUUUCUCAUGAAAAAAUUCAAGAAAGUAUGAAGGAACAUGAAAAUGAUUCUCGGAAAUCAAACGCAACCGUGUGAAAUAUACUUGCGUUAAAAAUUAUAAUGUGUGUUUGUUGUACUAUGUUUAUGAAAUUGAAAUGUUGUAUUUUAUAAUUUAUUUGUAGGUGGAAACCUAAGGACAAUGAGGAGAAGUUAAUCUCAAGAUGCAAGUGAGAUUCCAAAUGUUGCUAAGGUGGUCUAGUCUUGCAUAUGAUCAGUCUGGCUUACCAUCAUGACCAUAAAGAAAGAUGCUACAAUUUGAGUAUUGAAAGUGUGAAUUAGGAAUUUUAAAAAAUGAAAACUUGAAUUGAUAUAUGUUUUUGCCUAUAAGAUGUGUGGUUAUUGGCAAUUCUUAUGGGUAUGUAAUUGACCUUGAUGUUGCAUAUGAAGCAUAUCACCCUCUCUAUAUCUUCAAGCUAGUGGUUGGAACUUCUCUUAGAUAGUGAAAGACAAGUGUCAUGGAUUUAAGUAUUUUCAAAGCUCUCAUGUGGCACAUAGACAAUUCAAGUCUCUUGAAGUUGUUAAUUCUUUCACAUUGUGACAAAGGUCUCCGUCACAUUUCACACAUUAUAACCAUCACAUUUUAACUCAAGUGUUUAUUUUGAAAUACUUUUGCAUUAAACUCUUUUUCAAAAGUAUUAAAUUAAUACCAUUCUCUAAUCUUACUCGGCUUGGUUUGUUAACUUUAGGGGUUUAUUACUCUAGAGCCAACUUUCAACUUAAUCAUUCCCAUGUAAUUGUUAUUGAUUCAUGGUCAAUUAACAAAUUCUCUAAUGUUAUGAUUGGUUUUUGAAAAUUUUGAGAAAAAUAAAAUAAAGAGAAAAAGUAAAAGGAAAAAAAAAUUGUGAAGAAGCAUAAAAAAAUUAUAAAAUUAAUAAAUUAUUUUUAAUUGUUAUUUCAAACCCAUUUUACACAUAAUUUUAAUAAUAUUUAUUUAUUUUCCCUAUUUUCCGUGAGAUAUAAAAUAUAAAAAAAUUAUUUUUUAAUACUUUUUGGGAAUUAAACAUAACCUAAUACUUGUCUUUGUGUUUCAAGAUACCAAUGAUAGAAUCAUACCAAUUAAUGUGGCCUGUAUACAUGUGUGGAAUAUUCAUGGUUCAAUACUAUCACUACAUUACAAUUAUAGGAUGGAUCCUAGUCUAUAGUUGAAGCAAAGAAGGAUUUUAUUCUAAAAUUAAUAUAAAAAAUAUAAUUUGAUAAUGUAAUUUUAAACAUAUUUUGGAUGGUGUUGGGUAAACCAACUUAAUAAUUUAAUAUAACUUAAUAGCUUAAUUUAUUAUUAAGUAGAUUAACUAUGUUUGGUAAAAUAACUUAAUAUUAUAAUAUAAAUUUAGUGUUAAGUCAAAAUAGUUAACUUAAGGGUGUUUGAUAAAUCAACUUAAUGACUUAAUAUGAUUUAAUAAUUUAAUUUAAGUCAUUAAAGAUAUUAAACAUGUUUGAUAAAAUAAUUUAAUAUUACAACUUAAAGUUAUUUUUAACUUUAAGUAAUAAGUCAAAAGGGUCAAUUUCAUUGAGAACCCCUUGAGGUUUGGUAUAAAUAUACUUGACUACCGUUGAUUUCAAAUUUCAUCAAUUAGCACUCUUAUAAAUUUAUUUCAUUUAAAAGAUUUAUUUUUUUUAAGAGAUUUCAAAUAAAAAUAUUUUAGAUAGGAGUGUUUAACAAUUCACUAAAAUCUAAAUUUUAUUAUUUAAAAACUAAAAUUUAUAUAUAUAAUACAUUUAUAAAGGUGCUAAUUAAUGAAAUUUAAACCUACAGUGACUUAAUGUAUUUACACUAAACUUGAAGGGUCUCAAUAAAAUUAACUUUAAGUCAAAAUAGUUAACUUAUUGUGGACCCCGCAUUUCGGCUCAUGCGUUUCCCACUCGAUGGCGAGCUCGAUUUUAAUUUGAAAAAUUGAUCUUUAUUGAUUAAAAAGGACUUGGAGUCGCCACUUAUUUUUGUUUUAUUUUAAAAGGGUAAACAAAAUAAGAAAGAAAAACCCUAAGUGUGACUCCUUACUUUGGAAAAGGUGGUCUGUGAAAAACUGGAUCGGGUUCGGGGGUCAGGUUACUUAUCGAGAAGGUACGGUAACGACCGUAGCACCCCUCUAAGUCCCUAAAGUCGGGUCUCUACUAAUAAAAUGGAGCUGACAUGGCAAUCAAUGAGAAAAUCAAUGAAUACUCGAAGCGAUCAUGCACAUAUGGGAAUCAAAACAUGUAUAAAGAAUGAACAAAAUAUGAGUGGAUACGUACCUGGUCCUCCAGUCACGAAUGCGCUAUCAUGAAACAGGAUUAGUGAAUCACAAAUAGAUAAAAUUAUGCGCAUGUCAAGGAACAGAAUAAAUCAAACAAAAUAAAUAAAUCAAUCAAUCAAUCAAUCAGUCAUAAAAUCACAUAUGUGGGGUCCCCACCAAAGCCCGAUUGAUCUUGCAUGGACCAAAUCUGUAAAUUCCAUUAUUCCGAAUUACAAAAUUUGAUUCUUUGCUUAUUUCAAAACAUUUUUAAAGCAGAGGAGCAGAAGAUUGUUUUGAAGACUAGAAUGGAAUUAAGCUAUUUGAGAGAAAAUCGGAUUUUUUUGUUAAAUUUAAUUGAAAAAUUGGAAUCUCGAAGAUCACUAGAAAAUUGGAGUUUUAAAGUUUAUUUGAAGAUCAGGCUUUUAGAGAUUGAAUGUGAGAAUGAAAAUUUUUAGGAAUUGGAUUUGAAAGAGGUUGGAAUUGUGAAAACGAUUUGAGGGUUCGGGAUCUUAAAGAAAGAUUAGUUGCGAAAAUUGGGACUUUGGGAGUUGAAUUUUGAGAGAAAUCAGAAUCGUGAGUUAUUUGAGAAAUAGAAAUUAUGAAAGUUGAUGUGUAAAAAUUGGAAAUCUUAGAAAUCAUUCGAAGGCGGAAUUUAUAGAAAUAAUGAAUAAGAUGAUAAUGAUAAUGAUAAUAAUAAGUAGCGGGGCAAAUACGGGAAUUGGAGCAUGGGAAACUGGAAAUUAAGUUCGGAGAUAGGACAAUUGGAAUUUCAAAUAGCUAAAUUUAGAAAUCGGAAUUUUGAAGAAUUGGACUUUAAUGAUUGAAAUUUUUAAGAGAAAUAAAUGGGUAAGUAUGGAGUAAUGUUACUAAUUAAUCAAAACGAUAUUUGGAUGGGUGAAUAGUGAAUAGUGGGAUUUUAAAAAUUAAAUUUUGAAGGUCGGGCCUUUGAAUAAUUGAACUCUAAUUAUUGGAAUUUUUAGAAGAAAGAAAUAAGUAAACGUGGAAUUUACAAUAAUGAUAACGAAGAUGAUAUUAAAUGAAUAAAAGUGAUUGAUGGAAUUUUUGAGUCUCAAGGUUAAAUUUGGAAAUCCGGUUUUGAAGAAUUAAAUUUUAAUGAUUGAAAUAAAUAAAUAAACAAAUAUGGAAUAAUGAUACUAAUUAACAAAAAUAAUUUUUAAACGAAUAACAAAGAGAAUAGUGGAAUUUUUCUAAUUGAGAAUUUGAAUUAGAGCGUUGGACUUUUAAAGGAUAUGACUUUGAAUAGAUAGGUAGGUAUGGGAUUAUAAUACUAAUUAGCGAGAAUAAUAUUUUAGGCGAAUAAAGAUGGAUAGCAGGAUUUUUGGGAUUGAAGUUUUAAUUCAGAAAUGGGAUUUUUGAAGAAUUGGACCUUAUAUAAAUAAAUAGAUGUGGAACAAGAAUCCUGAUUAACAAAAAUAAAAUUUAGACGAAUAAUGGAAUUUCUGGGAUCGAAAGUUGAAUUAAGACAGAGGGGUUUUCGAAAGAUUGGACUUUGAAUAGAUAUGGAAUAAUGAUUAUAAUGGGUGAAGAUAAAAUUUAGACGAAUUGUAGAAUUUUUAGGAUUGAAAAAUUAAAUUAAGAUGUGAGAUUUUUGAAGAACUAGGUUUUAAAUAAAUAGAUAAAUAUGGGAUAAUAAUCCUGAUAGAUGAAAAUAAGAUUUAAACGAAUAUUUGAAGAAUUAAAUUAAAGCAUGGGAUUUUCGAAGGAUUAGACUAGAUAGAUAGAUGAAUAUAGGAUAAUAAUUCCAAUUGAUAGACGUAAGAUUUAAACGGAUUAUUGAAAGAUUAGAUUACUAAAAAUAAAUAUGGGAUAAUGAUUCUAAUUGAUGAAAAUAAAGUUUAAACGAAUUAUUGAAAAAGAUUAGGUUAAGGCACGGGAUUUUCGAAGGAUUAGACUUUAAAUAGACAGGGAAAUAGGAGAGAAUAGUUCUAAUGAAAAUAAGAUUUGAGCAAAUUGCGGAAUUUUUAGAAUUGAAAAAUUAAGUUAGGGAGUUAGAUUUUCGAGAGAUUAGACUUUAAAUAAGUAAAUGAAUAUAGGAUACUAACUCAAAUUGAAGAAAAUAACAUUUAGCCAAAUAGUAGAAUUUUAGGAUUGAAAAUUAGAUUAUGACAUUGGAUCUUUUUAAAGGAUUGAAUUUUGAAUAAGUAGACUAAUAUAGGAUGAUAAUACUAAUUAACGAAAAUAACAUUUAAACCGAAUAAAAAGAAUAGUGGAAUUUUUAGGGGUUUGAAAAUUAAAUUAUGACAUUGGAUUUUUGAAGGAUUGAACUUUAAAUAGCUAGAUAAAUACGUGAAGACAAUUCUUAAUUGAUGAAAAUGAGAUCUAAACGGAUUAAAGAAAAAUUAGAUUAAGAUAUGGGAUUCUUGAAAGAUUAGAAUUUAACUUUAAGGAAUGAGAUUAUUUUUUAAAAGAUGAUAAAUCGAUACAUAUGAAGUAAUAAUAAUAAUAAUUAACAACCAUAAUGUUUAAACUAGCGAAAUUGAAUAGUAUGAAUUUCGAGAUAAAAAUAUGAUUAAUAAUAAUAAUUUAUCUUUUAGUUGUCUUUAAGUUUAAGUUAACUAAGUUGGUAGAACGAAAUAAGAUAAAAAAUGAAAACGAAUAAAUGACUUGAUAAAUUACUAAAUUAGAGGUUAAAAAAACUUAUUUAGGAGUGGAGUAGCCAAAUGGGCUAUCCUAAAAUGGGUAUGGGCCAUGGGAGUGAAUAGCACAGGAGGCAUGAGGCCCUUCAUUAAUGCAACUGGGCUUGGGCUUCCAACCAGGCCCAUAUCCAUCAUCUUGGACAGGCCCCGAACUCUAACUCCAUCACAUGCUUGGAUUGGGCUCCAACUCAAGCCCAAAUAUUCAUCUUCUCCACAGCUCACCCCUCUGAACGCAACAUCAUCCUCAAAGAGAGCCUUCACCACCGGCAGCGAGAUAGAGAGAGGAACCGUGGAGGCGGUUCGGCGGCAACCAGAAUGUGCAGCCGUCAAGGUGGCUGGUGCGUGUGAUGGCGGCUGUUGAGGCGAGCAAGCGGCUGGUGAGGCGAGCAAGCACCUCGUCGACAUGGUGCGCGCAGCAAGGAGAUGCAGGGAGGGGCGGCAGGCGUGCUUGGACUCCAUGCAUGCAGAAGGGCGGCUUUGGGAGUCCUUGUGGAGUCGGGCAUGGCGAUUAGAGGGAGAAAGAGAUGAUGGGGAAGACAGGUGAGGGUGACGGCCAUGCAUGGGACGUGGGUGAGGCAGGGACGAGCAUGGGUGCUGGGUCCAGCACCAUUGGGUGGGCACGAAGUGUCCAAACAAUGCUGAUGUUGAACUUCACUAAUGCGUGCUACUGAUCUGAUGGUUGCUGUUCUUAGCAAUCCGAAUCUCAGAAAUGAAGUUGGUGGCGACAUAGAGUUGACGGAGAUAGAAAGAAGAAAAAGAAAUGAAGAAGAACAGGGUACGUAAAGGAAAAGGUAAUACCAUCAAAUCCUCAUUCCACUAUUAUGAAAAUCAAAAGAGACUUAUCAAAAGAAAGGUGUGAGGGUAUCCCAGCAUGUGAGCAAAUAGCAUAACUGCCAGGCAGCUCAUACAGGGGAAAACAAAGGUCAAUCAAUACAGAAAAUGAGGAGCAAGUUUAACACAAUGGAUAGCCAAAACCAAAUAUCCAGAUAUCAUAAAGGAGCGUAGUGUGACCAUCAAAAACAAAAUAAGAUAAAAUAAAAGUGAAGAGCAUAGGAUGAGAAAUAACCAAACCUGAACGAUUCUUCCUCUACUCCUCUUACCCGUCUCCGAAAAUCUCUCCCCCUUUUUUCUUCUCAGCUCCUUCUUUUUCCCCUGUUUUGUGUCUUCCUCAGCCAGCCACUCUGCCUACUGCUACCCGUCCGAGAGCAGUCAGAAAAGCAGCAAAAAAAUAAUUAAAAAAAAAGCUCCAGCUCCUGGGGGGGUCUACACUUAUUCUUAAUUUCAAAUCGUUUUUACCUUAUUUGCCUACAUUUAUGACUCACUUUUUAUGAUAAAUAUUUUAUGAUUGUAUUUGUAUCUACAAUGCGUUAAAUAUGAAUAUUUAACAAAUAAAUCUAUUGUUUAAGAUUAGUGAAAACAUAAUUAUUAGUUAAAAUUAAUAAGGAUAAAUAUGUCAAUUUGACAAUUUAGAAUAAAUCUUAAAUUAACUUUACUAAAUAAUCUUAAUACUUAAAGUAAAAAAUAAUUAAUAAGUUUUAAGUUUACAACUUAAGAACCAUUUAAAAUAAAAGUCAACUUAAAUCAUUAAGUAAUCAGUUAUAAGUUUUGGCAAACACCCACUCAAACAUAGCUCUUAAAGGAAUUAUUUAAUCAAAAGAUAAAAAUUAAAAUAUAAAAAAUGAAAAAAAAAGGAAAAAAGAAAAAAAGAAAAGGAACAUGCACGAUGCAAAUAGGCAUCAUAAAGUCUUUCACAUGAUUUUAUUCCUUUUUUGUUUAGAAAACGAUUUUAAUAUUUCCUAAGAAAAUUAUGAAAACACAAAAUUGGUGUUUCCUGAUUUUCUAUUUCUAAAACUCUAUUUUCUAAAAUAUUGAUUUAUGUUUUCUUUACAAAUGAAAACAAUUUAAACAAAUAAGUGCUUUGUAGUUUCCAUUUUUAAAAAUGAUUUUCACUUCUUUUGAUUUAAGGCAUUUCAAGAUAAGAAAAAAAAGAAGGAAUAAAAGCUAUUUUUAGAGAAUAAAAAUAAAUGAAAAAUGAAAAAUGAAAAACAUUUUCCAACCAAAACCCAUUGUUAAUGUUUUCAUCUCAUUGUGCCUUUUUCUAAUCUCCAUCCCACACUUUGAUGGGCAAAACUCGAAAAUGGAAAGUUAUAUCUUGGCACAUGCUUUAAUCUACAUUUGUUAAUUUCUCACCUGCCAAAACCUUAUUGUAUAAAUUUCCAUUCUACCUUCAGAUCCAUCCCAUGCUCCAUUGUCAAUCGUAUGCUCAUCUUUAUACCAUUUUCAACCCAAGCCACACUGUUACCAUAGGGCAAGUUGCUAAUACCAAAUAUUUAAGAUAAGUAUACAUACAAUACAAAUCAGUCCAUUACCCUAAGGCUAUGUUUGGUUCCUGGAAAAUGCGAGAGAAAGAAAAUUGAGAGGAAAAAUGGAAAAAAAGGAAUGUUAGAACUCAUGAGAGUUUGCCUCUGAAGUUUGAAAAAGUCUUAGUUAGACUUAGUCUUUGUUAUUGUUUCAUAUCAGAUUCUUGCUCCAUAAUUUUUUGUUUUCAGUUAGUAGAAGUAGUGCCAAUAAAAUCUGAAUGUAGCUGAGAUUUUUUUGCAAUUUUUGUUUAGUUGUAAGCCUAUAAAUAGGCAUUCUCAUUUGUGAAAUAGAUGUGUGUGCCUUCCUUCAAUUUUUAACUCUCAAAUUAUUUAUUUUUUCCAUGCAAGUUCUAGUUUUUUUUACAAAUUAAUUUUUUUCACUUGUUUGGUUAUCCAUGGAAAAUUCAUAGGGGAAAAAAAAAAAAAGAAUUCAUUUUCUUUUGUUUGGUUAACCACAAAAAAAAAAAAAAAAAGUCAAGGAAAAAUGGAAGGAAAAUAAAAUCAAUAAUUUGUCUUAGAUGGUUAUCAAUUUGCUGAAUAACAAAAUAAAUUAAUUCAAUAAAAAAAACUGUUGAAAAGCGUGAAUUUUUUGACAUAAAACAUUGCUCAUAAAAAGUCUCUGCUAUUAUUUUUUUAUUAAUAAUUAUAAGAUUUAUGUAUAAAAUUUUCCUCAUGCAAUACAAAUAAAAUAUACGAGUAAUAACUAUUUUUUAUUUUCAAUGGAACAUUUAUAGUUAAUAAAAAGCUCUUAAAAAAAAUUCAAAAGGAUUUUUGGAAUCAAAAUUUAGAAAUAAAAUAUGUUCAUAUAAUGUGAAAAUAAAAAACUACUAUAUAAAAUAUAAAAUUCAAAAUUAAAAAGGAUUUUCUAAAUCUAAAUUUAAAAAUUAAAUUUGUAAAAAUAAAAAGAUACAAUAUAAAAUAUUUUUUAUUUGUAAAAAUAAAAAUUAGUAACUUUUUAUUUUUACAUAUUUCAAUCUUACAUUCGGCCAAAACUCACUAAGGAGCUCCUUCAAAAUCUCCAAAUUUCCCUAUAUGGCAGUAGCACCAACAGCUCUACUUAUCAUCUCCCACUUAAAAACAGAAUGGAUCUCCCCAAUUUGCUCCUCCAUCUCUCCACCUUUGUCGGUGGAGAACCUUGGGGAGACUACAAAAUAAAAAACAAG